UUAUAAUCAAUCAGCGGUCACUCGACAUGAUAGUUAGAUGAAAUUCUGUUAAUACAUUAAAUACUAUAAUACUACUGUAUUCUUAUCAACCUAGACGCCCAGUGUUGGCAACAGGCUUUCCACAAAGCUCGACACGACGACCAGUCUUGCUUGACCUGCAUCCACCGGAUUCCAAUGACCUUCGGCAUAGUUGCCGGUCGAGGGAAGCCGAAGAGGCCAUCUGUUCUGCAGAUGCCCAGCCGGCCCCAUGCACUUUAAUCAUAUUGUUACGCCGGUAAGAGUAACGCCAUCUAUCGCCGAAUAGUCAAACGAAUAUCGAAGGAUCUAGCAGCACCUAGAACGAUCGAGAAGUACAACGCCAUAUAUUGUCAGAUAGCGGAAACACAAUACUAGAGAUGUGUGGAAUAUUCUCGAUAAUUCUAGGGAUGUGGUAUCGACUAUAAAAGCGCUGCAGGCUUCGAUCAACAAUAGUAACUAGAUUUCGGGUCGGUGCAUAAAAUCCGUCUCGUCAAAUAACAGCGCACUAGAAAUGUGAGCUCUUGUUUUGUUUAGUUCACUUCAAACACAGCCAAUGUCAACCCGUCUCACAAUACCGCAGUGUGUAUUCAAAAGUUGCAAAAAUAAGGCCCGAAAAAGCAAUUUAACGGCCGGAAUAUCUUACUUUCGCUUUCCUAGCAAUCACGUGUGCAGAAUGGAUCUCGAUUGUCGCCAGAGAAACAAGAGAUUACUUUUAUAAGCCAGCUAAUAUCUCCGUUUAUUGACACUGGACAUCUUUGCCUUCCGUGCUCACGGCUACUGAAACGUGGCCGAAACAUUGUAAUAAAAAUACCGCGCUUGAAACCGUUUAAACGUUGUUUUAUUAUGUGCACUGGUCGCGAAAACUUAAAAAUAUAUAUUACACAAAAACGUAACGCUAAUAAAAUAAUAAGUAAUGUAUAGAUACUAACAAACAUACAUUUCCAAAACAUAAAAAGUAAACAACUAAACUUUUACUUUAAUUCAUUAAUAAAUUAUUUUAGUGUUAAGCGCGACUCCCUUACCUCCUGUAGUAAAUAGAAAUCGGCAUUUCAAGAA